rnacentral:misc_RNA from 1 species
GAUGAAGAACGUAGCGAAAUGCGAUAAGUAAUGUGAAUUGCAGAAUUCAGUGAAUCAUCGAAUCUUUGAACGCACAUUGCGCCCGUCAGUAUUCUGGCGGGCAUGCCUGUUCGAGCGUCAUUACGCCCCUCAAGUCCCCUGUGGACUUGGUGUUGGGGAUCGGCGAGGCUGGUUUUCCAGCACAGCCGUCCCUUAAAUUAAUUGGCGGUCUCGCCGUGGCCCUCCUCUGCGCAGUAGUAAAACACUCGCAACAGGAGCCCGGCGCGGUCCACUGCCGUAAAACCCCCCAACUUUUUUUAGUUGACCUCGAAUCAGGUAGGACUACCCGCUGAACUUAAGCAUAUCAAUAAGCGGAGGA